rnacentral:rRNA from 1 species
GACGAACGCUGGCGGCGUGCUUAACACAUGCAAGUCGAACGGAGAGGCCCUGCUUUUGUGGGGUGCUCGAGUGGCGAACGGGUGAGAAACACGUGAGUAACCUGCCCUUGACUUUGGGAUAACUUCAGGAAACUGGGGCUAAUACCGGAUAGGAGCUCCUGCUGCAUGGUGGGGGUUGGAAAGUUUCGGCGGUUGGGGAUGGACUCGCGGCUUAUCAGCUUGUUGGUGGGGUAGUGGCUUACCAAGGCUUUGACGGGUAGCCGGCCUGAGAGGGUGACCGGCCACAUUGGGACUGAGAUACGGCCCAGACUCCUACGGGAGGCAGCAGUGGGGAAUAUUGCACAAUGGGCGGAAGCCUGAUGCAGCAACGCCGCGUGCGGGAUGACGGCCUUCGGGUUGUAAACCGCUUUCGCCUGUGACGAAGCGUGAGUGACGGUAAUGGGUAAAGAAGCACCGGCUAACUACGUG